rnacentral:tRNA from 1 species
UGCGGAGUGGACUGGAGGUGGUUCCAGCCGGGCCUCAUAAGCCCUGCGACGCGGGUUCGACUCCCGCCUCCGCUAC